GUGCUCACUUCAGCAGCACACACACUAAAAUUGGAAUGAUACAGAGAAGAUUAGCAUGGUAAGGAUGACACACAAAUUUGUGAAGCGUUCCAUAUUUUU
rnacentral:snRNA from 1 species